rnacentral:rRNA from 1 species
CUACGGGGUGCUCCAGUGGGGAAUAUUGCACAAUGGGCGCAAGCCUGAUGCAGCCAUGCCGCGUGUAUGAAGAAGGCCUUCGGGUUGUAAAGUACUUUCAGCGGGGAGGAAGGGAGUAAAGUUAAUACCUUUGCUCAUUGACGUUACCCGCAGAAGAAGCACCGGCUAACUCCGAUGCCAGCAGCCGCGGUAAUACGGAGGGUGCAAGCGUUAAUCGGAAUUACCGGGCGUAAAGCGCACGCAGGCGGUUUGUUAAGUCAGAUGUGAAAUCCCCGGGCUCAACCUGGGAACUGCAUCUGAUACUGGCAAGCUUGAGUCUCGUAGAGGGGGGUAGAAUUCCAGGUGUAGCGGUGUAAUGCGUAGAGAUCUGGAGGAAUACCGGUGGCGAAGGCGGCCCCCUGGACGAAGACUGACGCUCAGGUGCGAAAGCGUGGGGAGCAAACAGGAUUAGAUACCCUCGUAAUC